UACAGAGGUCUCGAGCGUUAGGCGGAAUCACUGGGCUUAAAGCGUGUGUAGGCGGGUCGUUAAGUACCUUGUGAAAUCCCAUGGCUCAACCAUGGAACUGCUGGGUAUACUGGCGAUCUUGUGCAACCUAGGGGCGAGCGGAACAGAUGGUGGAGCGGUGAAAUGCGUAGAUAUCAAGAGGAACACCUGAGGUGAAGACGGGUUGCUGGGCUGACACUGACGCUGAGGCGCGAAAGCCAGGGGAGCAAACGGG
rnacentral:rRNA from 1 species